rnacentral:rRNA from 1 species
CAACAGGGAUUGCCUCAGUAACGGCGAGUGAAGCGGCAACAGCUCAAAUUUGAAAUCUGGCUCUUUCAGGGUCCGAGUUGUAAUUUGUAGAAGAUGCUUUGGGUGUGGCCCCGGUCUAAGUUCCUUGGAACAGGACGUCAUAGAGGGUGAGAAUCCCGUAUGUGACUGGGUGGCCUUCGCCUAUGUAAAGCUCUUUCGACGAGUCGAGUUGUUUGGGAAUGCAGCUCAAAAUGGGUGGUAAAUUUCAUCUAAAGCUAAAUAUUGGCCAGAGACCGAUAGCGCACAAGUAGAGUGAUCGAAAGAUGAAAAGCACUUUGGAAAGAGAGUUAAACAGUACGUGAAAUUGUUGAAAGGGAAGCGCUUGCAACCAGACUUGCGUGCGGUCGAUCAUCCGAGGUUCUUCCCCGGUGCACUCGAUCGUGCUCAGGCUCGCAUCGGUUUCAGUGGUUGGAUAAAGGCCCUGGGAAUGUAGCUCCUCUCGGGGAGUGUUAUAGCCCUCGGUGCAAUGCAGCCUACUGGGACCGAGGACCGCGCUCCGGCUAGGAUGUGGGCGUAAUGGUUGUAAGCGGCCCGUCUUGAAACACGGACCAAGGAGUCUAACAUCUAUGCGAGUGUUUGGGUGUUAAACCCAUACGCGGAAUGAAAGUGAACGGAGGUGAGAACCCUUAAGGGUGCAUCAUCGACCGAUCCUGAAGUCUUCGGAUGGAUUUGAGUAAGAGCAUAGCUGUUGGGACCCGAAAGAUGGUGAACUAUGCCUGAAUAGGGUGAAGCCAGAGGAAACUCUGGUGGAGGCUCGCAGCGGUUCUGACGUGCAAAUCGAUCGUCAAAUUUGGGUAUAGGGGGCGAAAGACUAAUCGAACCAUUAAGGAAUCACCCGCUGUAUCCCAGCGGGCUAGGUGGGUUAAGAGGUGGGCCGCGARGGCCAUCCUAGUYCCCGCGCCGGGGGCAACAUUGGUCAAACUGUUUCGGGGGACGUCCCCGUCACGCUUCUAGCUACCCGCAGCCCGUGCCCGAAAAGGCAGGUGCCGCACCGGGGUUAACGACCCCUGGGGGAUGGUAAUAAUGCUAGGGGCAGGGAAUGAACCCGCAGCCCGGCUUCCUACAGGGYUCUCCCCCCCCGGGCCCCACGGARACGGUUUCACAGAACUCGACGAC